rnacentral:rRNA from 1 species
GAUGAACGCUGGCGGCGUGCCUAAUACAUGCAAGUCGAGCGAACAGACGAGGAGCUUGCUCCUCUGACGUUAGCGGCGGACGGGUGAGUAACACGUGGAUAACCUACCUAUAAGACUGGGAUAACUUCGGGAAACCGGAGCUAAUACCGGAUAAUAUAUUGAACCGCAUGGUUCAAUAGUGAAAGACGGUUUUGCUGUCACUUAUAGAUGGAUCCGCGCCGCAUUAGCUAGUUGGUAAGGUAACGGCUUACCAAGGCAACGAUGCGUAGCCGACCUGAGAGGAUGAUCGGCCACACUGGAACUGAGACACGGUCCAGACUCCUACGGGAGGCAGCAGUAGGGAAUCUUCCGCAAUGGGCGAAAGCCUGACGGAGCAACGCCGCGUGAGUGAUGAAGGUCUUCGGAUCGUAAAACUCUGUUAUUAGGGAAGAACAAAUGUGUCAGUAACUAUGCACGUCUUGACGGUACCUAAUCAGAAAGCCACGGCUAACUACGUG